GCAGCAAUAUCUUUCUCAGCUCCGAUUGCAACGCUGCCUCGUUCAAAAAUCAUAACACCGCCGCGGCCGCCACGUUUACCAGCCGGAGCCUCAAAUCAUGUCCCUUUGUGGUGAUAAAGAGGACACAGCCUGGUGUGAAGCUACAUUUAUUACGGAAGGAUGCCAGCCGGGGUCCAACUGUACUGUUGAGGAGUAUGAGUUGGCCUGCAGACAAAGGUUUGCUGAGGACAACAUCAUGUAUGAGUGACUCAUCAUCUACUUGAGGACCAGAAGGCAUGCCUCUGGACUUAAGGGUGCUGAGCAGCAGAAAGUAUUGCGAUGGGCACGCCAAUUCCAGUGGGAUGAACAGGAUCAGAAGCUGUACAGAGUGGACCAUGAUGGGAAGCCUCGGAAGCUCGUGGUGAGGUCAUUUGAGGAGGUUGCUGCUAUGUUAUAUCAUCAUCACAGCAGUCCCACUGCAGGGCAUAGCGGCUGGGUUACCACUUGUCAGAAUGUCUCCCCAGUUUACUAUUGGCGAAACAUGACCCAGGACA